CGCCAGAUAGCUCAGUUGGUACAGCACCUGACUAGAGAUUCAGGGGGCCCGGGUUCGAAACCUGGUCUGGUCC
rnacentral:tRNA from 1 species